ACUAGCAUAUCAAUAAGCGGAGGAAAAGAAACCAACAGGGAUUGCCCUAGUAACGGCGAGUGAAGCGGCAACAGCUCAAAUUUGAAAUCUGGCUCCCCCGGGGCCCGAGUUGUAAUUUGUAGAGGGUGCUUUGGCGUUGGCUGUGGUCUAAGUUCCUUGGAACAGGACGUCACAGAGGGUGAGAAUCCCGUACGUGGCCGCCAGCCUCCGCCGUGUAAAGCCCCUUCGACGAGUCGAGUUGUUUGGGAAUGCAGCUCUAAAUGGGAGGUAAAUUUCUUCUAAAGCUAAAUAUUGGCCAGAGACCGAUAGCGCACAAGUAGAGUGAUCGAAAGAUGAAAAGCACUUUGGAAAGAGAGUCAAAAAGCACGUGAAAUUGUUGAAAGGGAAGCGCUUGCAGCCAGACUUGCCCGCAGUGGCUCACCCGGGCCUCGCGCCCGGCGCACUCCUCUGUGGGCAGGCCAGCAUCAGUCCGGGCGGUCAGACAAAAGCCUGCUAAAUGUACCUCCCCUCGGGGAGGACUUAUAGGGCAGGUGGCAUGUGACCAGCCUGGAUUGAGGUCCGCGCUUCGGCUAGGAUGCUGGCGUAAUGGCUGUAAGCGGCCCGUCUUGAAACACGGACCAAGGAGUCUAACAUCUAUGCGAGUGUUUGGGUGUCAAGCCCGAGCGCGUAAUGAAAGUGAACGGAGGUGGGAACCCCUCGGGGCGCACCAUCGACCGAUCCUGAUGUCUUCGGAUGGAUUUGAGUAGGAGCAUAGCUGUUGGGACCCGAAAGAUGGUGAACUAUGCCUGAAUAGGGUGAAGCCAGAGGAAACUCUGGUGGAGGCUCGCAGCGGUUCUGACGUGCAAAUCGAUCGUCAAAUUUGGGCAUAGGGGCGAAAGACUAAUCGAACUAUCUAGUAGCUGGUUCCUGCCGA
rnacentral:rRNA from 1 species